UCACUGUAAUAAUUAGCCUUAGAUACAAAUUAAAUGUUUCAGUCUGUUUUGAGGUCGUAAUAUCUAAGUUCUCUUUGUUCUGAAAAAAUACAGGACCUCCAAACAGCUAUGUCCAAAAUCUUCUGGAAUCAACUCUGCAACUGUGAAGCAAAGCAAGAAAGUACAUGAAAUGAAAGUGGUGACUCUUUGGAUUUCUCUGUGGCAGAGACCCAAGUAUGUAGCUUCUCAUGUUUUCAAGGGCGCUUGUAGGCAAACUUCACUUCGCAUGGUGGCAAAGAGCAGCGAUUACAUCCGAGACUUGCGAUGUAACAUCAGCAAAGAGAGGGAUAUCCGACAGAC